AAAGUGUUUGUUCAUGCAAAUGUGUCUGAACUAUUGUGAACAUAGAAUUAGCGUGAUUUAAUAAAAUGACGAUUCUUUUCAUUUUCUUGAUUUUAAUCAACGCUGAUUUUGCCUUUGGACUUUCAAGCCCCGGUUCAACAUCCACCACACAAUAUGUUUCUAAUUCCCCCGAGAAAAAUUUUCCUAGUGAUGCAGCAUUGUUACAUCAGAUCCUUACUCAAGAAACCACACUUAGAAUGGAGCUAGAAAGGAAUGUUCGAGAUCUAAUAAAGCAAUUUGAACGAAUGAAAACGGACCAAGCUGCAGCUGAAACGGAAAUUAGUAUUUUGAAGCAAGCCAAAAUUGACCAGAACGCAUUGAAUCGACAACUACUUAGAAACAUUACCAAACUCACCAAAGAAAAUGACAACCUAAAGGAUGCGAUAUCGUAUCACCAACAACAUGUGAACGUUUCUUCAAAUAGUAUUCCAAACCCAGGCCAGACUGUAUGUCAGUGUGAUUUUGCAAACAUAACAAAAGAGAUUCAGAAUUUUAAGAGGGAAAUUAGGUACAUUUCUCUCUCAAUUAUGGGCCUUGAGAGAGAAACAGAAGCUAUGAAUUCAAAUAUUUUACAAACUGUUAACACCAGUGCAAAUCUGAUCAAUCAAGAAUUAUUGCAAAUAACCGUAAGCUUUCAAAAUUUCUCAACAGGAUAUGAAGAGGAUAAGUAUCACCAAGCGUACAUUUUAGCAGAUUUGAAAGAUCAGCAGACAAAUGUUUCGAAUACAAUAAAAGAUCAUAUUGACAACGAAGUUCUAAAUUUGAUGACAAAAUAUUUUGAGUUAGAAAACAAAAAUAACGAAUUAACAUAAUCUAUUAAAGGCAUUGAAUAUUUUCUAUCAAAAGUGGACGUCUUUAUGAAUGAUACAAAAGGACUACAAAGAUCAUUACUUUGGAUGCAGCAUGAAGAGAUUCAGACUUCAAAAGAGAUAUCUGAAAUCAUAAGAAAUGUCACAGCUAUACAAGACUUACAUGUAGUAGGUCCAUCUGAUGCUGUAGCGUUUAGUGCUACUAUAACGUCAGAAAUCACCUCUUCUAGUGGUCAAACUCUGGUAUUUCCUCACGUUCUUUGUAAUGUCGGUGGUGGAUAUAACAACAAAAACGGCAUCUUUACAGCGCCUGUUGAUGGAACCUAUGUGUUCUUUGUUCGAAUCACACCAUCGUCAAACCCUACCGAUAUGUACUUUAGCAUUGUUUUGAAUGGUAUUGAAGAGGCUAAACACCUGGUAUAUGGAAGAGAUAGUAUUCCCUUUAGAAUUUCGACAAACACAAUAGCAUUGCAACUGAACCACAGCGACAGAGUAUGGGUAAAAAUCAAUACAGGAGGAAGAAUGUGGUCCAGUGGCACACAUAGCGGGGACCAAACAUUUACAGGAUAUAAAGUUUAAUCGCUGAAUUGCAGAAUUAAAAAAAUCAAUU